rnacentral:lncRNA from 1 species
UUUUUUUUUUUUUUUUUUUUUUUUUUAAUCAGAUUCUCAAAUUUCCUUCCUCAGGUCAAAAGCAGGAAAAAAAGAUCCAUAACAGAGAUAGCUCAGACAACAGAAUUUGUCUCCCAGCAUGAGCACUGGGGUAUCAGAAAUCCAAAUUGCUGCUGCUACACACUCAAGGAGAUCCUGUUUGCCCAUAUGUUUUAAUAUGAACAUUUAUUCUUCCACUCAUAAGAUUCUGCCUGAAUCUUCAAUACAAUUUAUCAUUCUGCCAGGUCCAUGACUGAAAGGCAGAAUAUAGCCUACAGAUCCAACAAAUCUUUUGGGAGUUUUAAUUGCAUAAGAAAUUUAAUAUAAAUACAGAAGAAUAUAUUUUUUCAUAUAUAUAAUGAAAUUAGGAUUUCACUAAAAUUCUGUUACCUGGAAAGUACAAUCUAAGCUAUUAACGUGUCACAAAAUGUGUUAAGAUACAAAUCAGGAUUCCUAUGAAAGGAGCUUGACCUUUACACAUUUGUGUUCACAGAUUUUAAAGUAAUACCAGAAUCAACUUGUUAGGCUAUGACAAAGUUUCCAGCUGGAUUUCAAACACAUCCAUUUCGAGAAUCAAAAAUAUGUUCUUGAAAUAUUCCAUGGAAAGAAAUAUAAGGGUCAAAAUAAAAACAAACAAGAUUUUUCUUUUUUUUAUUUCCAGCAGAGAAGAAAGAUCAGGAAAACACUGAUAUUUUUUUUUCUUCCAGUAAUGCAAACAUGAAUAUUAGAGAAGUGGCAAGAAGGUAGUCACUUUUCCCAUGGGUAAGAAGGAAGCAGGAACAGAGGAAGGAGCCCAGAUGAAACAAAUUAAUAAACAUCUCUAGCAUGUGGAAAAGAAGCUACUAUAAACUCCUAGCAUAUCUAAAGAAGUAUGUCUUCAUGGGGAAAGGAAUCCAUUUUUCUCCCAUGCUUGACCAUUUAAUUGACAUAUCAGCAGGUUAAACAGAUAAAAAAAUAGAGAAAAUAGGAAUCUCCCAGAUGCUGCGCUAAGUAAGCAUUGGUCCUAUUAAAAUGUGAGUAAAUUAUUCAUGUACUUUUGUCAUGACCAAAGGGCCACAGGAACUUGCAGUGCAUGCUCUGGGUGUCUUUGUGCUCCAUGAACAAAAGAAAUUUCAUUUGACAAGUGAUUUAGGUGAUUUAGGUGACUUUUAGUCACCUGAUUUUGUUCACUAGCAGUGGUCAGCAUCUACCCUUGUAGGAAGCUGAGCUUAUGCACUUGAAGUACCUGCACAUUUUGGCCUCCAUAGUGGUACUUACGCCAUAGUAGGUAUCAUGAGCAACAGCAGCAAGAGCUAUGAUACGUAGCUUAGUUCUUCCACAGAACAGCUUGAAGGUCUGUGGGGGAUGUAAGUGAAACUCACCAUGCAAACCAUGUCUUGUUACCUUCAAUUAUGUGUAGUGUAUGCCUUCAUCAACAGCAAUAUUAGAAACCACCCACUGCAGUUCCUGAGGAAAAAUGCCAUGGAGAUCAUGAAAGUAUUCCAGCAAAAUGCUCUAUUUUUCCUGUAAAAGUUGAACCCUCUGAGUUAUAUUAACAGUUCCAUCAAAAUUAUUCCAAUCUCUGUUGCAAACUCAUCAGUUUGAGUCCCCUCAAUUUGACUGGGGCAAACCCAAGAGUCUCAGCAGAAGUAAGAGUUUAUAAUUACUGGUUGCUACAGGAGCAAAAUAAAUAUGUGUUCUGCCAUGCCUUCAAGACAAGGGAACCCAGGAUUUAGGCAAAGGCGGCUUGAUGUAACCUGUAAAGGUGAGGAAUUGAAUCUGCCGUAGCUCAGAUCUGCUGUAGCUUUGUCUCUAACUCAGGAAAUGUGACUGAUUUGAAAAGAAUCACAGCAUCAUAGAAUCAUCGAGGUUGGAAAACACCUUCAAGAUCACAGAGUCCAACCUAAGACUGCCAAGUUCACCACUAAAUCAUGUCCCUAAGUGCCACACCUAUGUGUCUUCGGGGGUGGUGACUCAACCACUUUUCUGGACAGCCCAUUCUAAAGUUUCCUAACUUUUUUGAUGAAUAAAUUUUUCUUAAUAUCCAAUUUAAACCUCCCCUGGUACAACUUGAGGCCUUUUGCUCUUGUUCUAUUGCCUGUUACCAGGGAGAAGAGACCAGUCCUGACGUUGCUACAACCUCCCUUCAGGUAGUCACAGAGAGUGAUAAGGUCUCCGCUGAGCCUCCUUUCUUCCAGGCUAAACAAUCCCAGGUCCCUUUUCUGCUCCUCAAAAGAUUUUUCUCUAGAUCCUUCACCAGAUUUGUUGUCUGCCUUUGGAUGCUUUUUUUUCUAAAACUCGAAGUGCUGAAGCUCAGCCAAAGUUCAUUACAAGGAUGGACACACAUGGAGGAUGCACACAGAAAGAAAGAAAGCUGACUUUGGUGUUAGAUGUUAAAGAUUUCAGAAUGGACAGGAUCAAACAACACUAUUUGAUAUGUCAGUGCUAUCUAAACGACUAGUACUUGAAAAUUCUCUUUGACACAAGGAACUCCAUGUGCUGAAAGAGCUUUGUUCCAGGAAAGAAAACUCAUUAACUCUGUGUGCACACAGGUUUGUGUGUAUGCACACACAUUUGAGGCAUGUAUCCACACACUUCAAACACAGGUUAUCUGGCCAGUUAGCACUCACUGUGUAUAUUUAAAUGCCUUUAUUUAUAUGGGAGAUUUUCAAUUGUGGUUGUUAUAGAGCUACCAGAGGAAAGUAUUACAUAAACAUUUCUUAAUUCCAACUUGUAGCAUGCAGACAAGUUCUGAUUUUUCAGCAGACUUGCUACAUUGCAUUUUUGAGCUCAGAAAAACUUUCAGAAGACCGAGGCAACACUAUCAGUGGAUUUUUCUCCAAGCUAUGAGUAGUUAAGACUCAAGGCUGAAUUACUCCUGAGAAGCUACUAUUAGCACAGAAUUAAAUUCCUGGAGGAAAAGAUUACCCUGUGUGGUUUUGUAUUCUUUUCCUUCCUUAAGUAGUAGUAUAUAGCCAAAGCAGACCAAAGCCUCCUCAGGCAUUAAAACUUUUAAAAAUCACAGCAAGUAUUUUACAAGUCUCUUCAGAAUUGCUGGAUUCUAUACAGAUCCCUUGUGUGGAACUGGUCUUUGUCAUGGAGAGAGUAAGCCCACAGUAAACUGCAAAGGUGGUUCAGUCGCAGGAUUCUUCUUUUAGGUUAUCUUCAGCCUGUUUGUGAAUGGAACAUUAGCAUUGAAAAUGGAGAGAGAAGGAGUAGAAAGUUGAACAGGUACAAAUAACCACAAUGAAAUUAUUGGAUAUAAUCAAUCAUAGAUUUUACCAGUGUUAAGGUUAAAAUAAUUUCUACCAUAGAUUUUCUGCUGAAGUCCCAUAUGUGAGUAAUCUCCACCAAUUAUACAUUGUGGUGUUCAAAUUCAGUAUGAAGAGAAAAAGUCUAGCUUGUCUAGCUUGCAAAGUAUAGAUAUUUUUAAGUAGUAUUAAAUAUAUAAGCACCAAUACAUUGAAACAAAAUUAAUUUGAAACACAUUUGACACAUUUGACCACUAAGAACAGCAAUAUCUUUCAGCAAUGUAUUAGCCUUAGAGCUUUUUCUUCUAACAUCUCACAGAGUCUUUUCUAGACUAAGUCAAGAACAAAAUUAAAGCCAGCUGUACACUGACUUUAUUCACCUCAUCUCAUUGCAAUAUGAUAAAAAAUUAUUUUGUUUAAAUAGCAAAUGAUCCACUGUUUUUCCUUCUUUGUCAGCCCUUUACAGAACAUUGUGGAUAUUUUCUCCUAGAUUUGUUCUUACAAAGGAAGUAACAGUUUUUACUCCCAAAGUGAAUUCUCUUAGAUCAGCAGAAAGUUUACCACAUGUUUUAGGCUACAAAGGCAUAUAUCUUCCCAAAACUGAAUUUCCUGGUAAGUAUUCAUUAAGGUGUUCUGAGGAGACAUCCAGAAAACAUUUUUGAGCUCCCUAAAUUGGAUGACAGUGUGAUCCUUCCUACUUUUCUUUCAACUUACCUUGUUUACAAUGUAAAGUCAGCAAAUACAUGGGGGUGUGCAGCCACCAGUGGAGCAUCUGGUACGGCAGAGAGAAGCAGACCAGGAGAAUACAAAGUGGUGAGUCUGAAAGAUGAAAUAUCUCCAGAAAAACUCAUCUGUGAGAGUGAACUUAGUUGUCUCCACAUCAGUAGCAGCCAGGUUUAAGUGUCCACUUUAAAGAGCAUCUCUGGGCUACAUCGACCAUUCAUCUAAGCCAGUGAAAAAAUUCCUGUGGGAGUUCUAUAAGCACAAAUUAUUACUUCACCCCUAAAAGAAGAGCUGUAAAAGAUGAACAACUUGAAAAUGUUCCACUGGAAAAAUACAGAAAUUUUGCAAAGUUCUUUCCCUUAAUGUGUCUAAAAAUAUAUUUGAAGCUUGUGAAAGAUAAAAAGGGAUGGUUUUGAAGGGUUUUAUUAGAAACAAUUUAUCAGUUUGCAGCCAUGGAAAUUAAAAAUUUAGCAAAUGCUUAUUAACAUGUGAGGAAAAAUGGUGGAACAUCCAUUAACUGCAACUAAAAUAUUAAUAAAAUGCUUAUAAACAUCACCAAAGAGUAGAGCAUUACCAGUGUCCCUUGAGUAACACAUAAAUAUAGAUAAAGCUGUCCUCUGCAGCAGGAUUAUUUGGGAACUGCUCAGAUUCCAACUCCUUAAACAUUUUACCAAAUGCUACUACUAUUCCAAGGAACAGACCAUCUCUGAGAACACACACAUCUAGACCCUUCCAUAAAACAUUUCACACACCAGCUUUCAUUUUUUGUUUCAGAGGGUUUGGAUCACUGUUCUUAGUGUUUAUCUACUUUCUCUACUACUUUUUCCUAGACCAGAACUCAUUUUUUGAGAAAACUUUCUUCUGUUUAAUUUGAGCAUUCAAUUAAAUUUGAUACAACUUUUUAUUUGUAAUGUUUGACUUUCAAGUCAUGUGCAAGCAGAUAAAAAUGAAGUUAAAACUCCCCUUUAAACUUGUAAGCUCAGACUUUGUAUGAGAAAGUUUAUAUUUGUAUCGAUAUUAUAUACUGGAAUGAGAGUAAUACUUCUUAAUGUCAUAUUCUCCGUUUCUUUCAUGAGCAUGAAUAUCUGUAUGGAAUGCAAGACUUCCAGAUUUUAUACCAAGGAACAAACCAGCUACAUUUGCUCAAAACUAUCAAGCAAAAUGAGUAGAGAAACAACUACCUAGGAAUGCAGGACAUCCACACUGCAAUCCCUGUAAUGAAUCAGGCAGAGGGCACAGCUGCAACAGGGAGACAGAAAAACUCAUCCUACAGCAGUCAGCAGUCCAGCAGUUCAACACCUCCAGCGAGUUACAUACAGAAAGGAAGAUUUUGUAAAUAUAAUAUCAAAGAAUUAGUUUUCAUGGAAGAUGAGAAGUUACUUAGAAGCAUACUAACUAUUGCUUGAAGUGGGAAGUUGGAGACCAGAAAAGAGCCUCCAAACCUCACAGCCACGUUCAAACUGUAUGGUGACAUCAGAUAAAGUGUUAUGAGAAAACUCAAACGUUGAAACUUUAGAUAAAGAGUAAGAUGGAAUCUUACCAGACCAAGACACAUGUUCUGUAGUAUUGAUUAAUGAGUCAAGUCCAAAGAAUAAAUGGCGAUAAGAAGGCAUUUGGCCACAUUCAAAUUCCCUGAUUGAUGUUUUUAUGAAGACCACUAUGAGGAAAGUUAUCUUCUUAAAUUAUCUCAUGAAAAGGACAUUUCAUGGGUUUGCCUUCCAUGCUGCUAUAAUAGCCACAGAAAUGGCACAACCACCCUUGUUUCUGUUAUGGCUUCAGAUGGAUUGUAUUUGCGCAACAUGAUCACAGUACCUGGAAAAGACUCACUAAAAUUCAUUAGGAGGUCCUUUCUUUGGGACAAAUGUAUAGAACAUGCAUGUAGGAUUUGUAAUUUUCUCUUCUUCCCCCCCUCACUCCCCCUUCCCCCCGUGGUCCCUUGUCCUGACCCUGCGUUCCCUUAUCACUCCCUCUCACCAUGCGGUCCAGUCCCGGUCCCCCACCCCCCUGCCUUUCCUCUCACCACACGGGCUGUCCCUGCCCCCCCCCCCCGCGGCUUUCCCGUCGCGGUCCCCGGGGUUUCCCUGCCCCCGUCCCCUGCCUCCCGUCCCAUUGGCCGUGGCUCAGAUUCCCCCCCACCCCCGGCACAGGGUAUAACCGAGUCCCGCUCGGUCCCCCGGGGUCUCAGGGAACACGCUCCCACAAUAAACACGUGUUUGCACC